AAGGAGAAGAACCGGGGGCCGGAGGGGAGCGUGUUUCAGAGGUGCGUAUAAAAUCCCAGGGGCGCCAGGAGGCAGCAGCGACGGCGCAGCGUGGGACUGCCAGGCGCGAAGGGAGGGAAGCAACCGGUUGCAGUCCGGCCUCCUGUACCUGGCUGGCCCGGGCUGGGGCUGCAAGCUUUCCAGCCAAACUUAUGUGAAGCAAAGUAGUUGCAGUUUGACAAAGAAUGGCGUUUC
ensembl:misc_RNA